CCUCCGGCCUGUAGGUCUCAUUUCUAGCCAGAAGGACCUUUUUUUUUACACCAGGGGUCCCCAAACUUGGCAACUUUAAGACUUGUGGACUUCAACUCCCAGAAUUCCUCGGCCAUCUUAAAGUUGCCAAGUUUGGGGACCUCUGCCUUACACUGUAUCUAGGCUCUGUUUCAUCUGCAUAGAAGAGAGGCCGAGGAUGGACAAAGCUGCUCUAUUUCAUCAAAGUCCAGGCUUCCACUUUAAAGUAGGCUCAGUUGAACCUGGCAGAAGCCAAAAUUUCCCUUUGUUUUUGCAGCUCCACAUCACCCACAUCUCUUUCCCCCCUCCCCCAGCAAAGCAGCAAGAAUUUCAUUUGCUUAUAACCCCACAGGGCAAGCAAAGGGAAGCUGCGUCCUCACAAAUCUUCUGCCCCUAAUCAGGCUGAGCUGUUUUAGAAAAGAUAAUCCCAUUUGGGAUUGCAUUGUAAGAUGAAGCAUGCUUGAUUUUUGCCUUGAUAUUACUUGAGUUUUCAGUUGUAGUGUAGUUUUUGUUUUUGUUUACUUUGUAGGCC